UCAUUCCAGCCAUCAGCUGAAUCGCGCGUGUUCAUCGCGACUACUUUUGUCUCUUCUGAACAAAAUUAAGUUAAUCUAUUGAUAUUCAUUAUACAAACAAUUUAGCAUAUGCUUAAAUCGGGCGUGAUUAAGGUUUUACAAGGCUGAUUGCACGCAUUCGGUGUUCAUCAAUCGCGGAUUUAUUUUCGGUGCACCUGUGUGCGUGUGUGGUUCCGUCGGCUGACGGUUAUCUUCUCGCGCCUUAAAAAAUGGAUUUAAGAUUAAUUCCUGCAUCUAGACAACGUUGAUGUCCAGGAAAGAAGUUUGUCAAUGCACCAACCAUGGAGUUUAUAAUAUGACGGUGUUCUGCACCCGAUCCCGAUAUCGUAGGAGAACCAUUCUUGCAUCAGAUUGUGUUCUGCACCCGAUCCCGAUAUCGUAGGAGAACCAUUCUUGCAUCAGAUUGUAAGUAAUUUAUUUCUUUAUCGUUUUUAUAACUAAUUUUUUUGAUUAGCUCAAGAAUUAGUGACGAAAAUUGCAUUUUUCUGUUGCAAAGGACUACAUUUUGAUUGUUUUAGGUGUUUUCCAUCCGAUCCCGAUAUCGUAGGAGAACCAUUUUUGCAUCAGAUUGUAAGAAAUUUAUUUCUUUAUCGUUUUCAUAACUAAUUUUUUUUUAGGUGUUCUGCACCCGAUCCCGAUAUCGUAGGAGAACCAUUCUUGCAUCAGAUUGUGUUCUGCACCCAAAGUCGACAUCGUAGUAGAACCAUUCUUGCAUCAGAUUGUUUUCUGCACUCGAUCCCGAUAUCGUAGGAGAUCCAUUCUUGCAUCAGAUUCUGUUCUGCACCGAAGCCCGAUAUCGUAGGAGAACCAUUUUUGCAUCAGAUUGUAAGUAAUUAAUUUCUUUAUCAUUUUCAUACAUAACUUUUAUGAAAACUUAUGAAUUAGCGAGAAAAAUUGACUUUUUGUAUUUCCAAGCACUGAUUUUUGCUGAUUACUGAAACGGUUUGUUUACAUUUAGUCAUUCUGAAUAGUUUUUGGAUUAUAUAUAACAUGGAUUGUGUUUUAUUAAUUUUCGUUCAAGUGAGUGAAAUAGAAAUACCAGGGUGAGCUGAUAGCACGUGAGUAAGAAUAAGAGAGCAAUACUCUAAGUGUCAUGCUCAAUCCAUGUUCUCUAUAUGAUCUGCAGAAUUUUCUGCACCUUGUUUAUGCUCUCAGUUCGACCUUGGCUUGCGCAGCACGCUGUGCGCUGACAUUUGAAAUUUGAACAGUACCGCACCGGUCGCCGUAUCGGCUUUAAGUGACAAUUCGCUAUACUGCUCAGAACAUCUUGCGCGGUCGUAUUGGCUGUUGUUUUUUCGUGUUUAGUCAGUCGGUGGUACGCAAUUGUGCUGCGUGUUGUGUUUCACCGCCGGUCUUCAUCGCGACUGUUAGCAUUUCGGGAGACUUUAAUACGGUGCGAGCCUUAUAAUUGUUUAGUCAUCGAUUGCUAUCAACUACUGAACAAGUGAUUUAUCUUGAAUCGACUUGAGACUCAAGACACCACGUGCGCGUGUUUGAGCCAUCGGCCGCCGGCCGUCGGAUCUCUUUCGUUGGGCUACGGAUUCCAAUUGGAUUUAUAGUCCAAUAUGGAUUUGUUAAUUAGAAGAGACAAAUCACGCGAUUUCUCUGGGUGGCAUAGUUGUUUGUGCAAAAGUAAUACAUUUUCAGGAUAUGCGUCUUAAAUCAUAUUUCAUAUGAAGCUUAUGUGAGUGCAACAUAGCGAAGGCUUGUGUUGUUGUUUUUAAAAAGUUGAAUAAAGUAGAAACAUAAAUAGAAGAAUCAAAUAUUAAUGGUAAAAACACUCGGUGGUCGAGUGGAGACGUGCACCUGCUGGCAUGCUAGCAGACACGGAUCGAAUCUCAGGUAUAGAAGGCAUUUUUCUCAAAUAUAAAAAUAUCAGGUGUAAUUUGGGUUGCAUAUAUGAAUUGCAACGAAAUAUAAGAGAAAUUGAAAAACAUGUGAAGGCAAUACGAGAAGUAAGAAAGUAAGUGGAGAAACGAGAACAGAGAAAUAGAAGAAGGAGUAGUAAAGAAUAGGAGAAGAUAGAAGGAAGAGAACAGAGAGUAGAGCAGAGAAAAAGAGGAGAUAGAAGAAAGAGAACAGGGGAGGAUCAGAUUUUUAAAUUUUUUGGCACGUGUCGUUA